AUAUUGUGACAAAUCUGGACUGAUAAUUGUUAUUAUUUAACCUAUUAUUUAUUGUAUAUUACAUAUAUCUAUUUGAAUAUUGCCGGGUGGUCAACUUCUCGAGAGUGCACAAACACUGAUAAAUGCAUUGACUUUCAUACUCAUGAUUUAAACUAUUUGUACUUUGCAAGCGAUAAGGGCCAGUUUUAUAUGUAUAUAUAUCUUGGUAAUGUUUACCUAUGAAAUACUUUGAUUAUCCCGUCAUAUAGUGAUUUAUUUUGACAAAUAUCGUCGUGAGAUUCAACUUGUUUACAUCUGCCAUGACACCGUUCUGUACUUUCACUUUGCGAUCUCACAUUAUUAUUUGUUUAAGUUAACACUUUAUCAAUGCAGAUAAAUUGCGUAUUUAUUAUGUUUGUGCCUCCCUUUUCAUUAACAUUGUGUUUAUUUAUGAUAGAACAGGGUUUUCAUUGAUCUCAUUUAAGCAUUAUAUCUAAUGCGUAAGGUUAUGUAAAUUACACCCAAGUUCAUACGCCGUAUCGAGAAAGGAAUUUACUGUCCGUUUAAAAAUAGCAUUAUGUAGAAAUGUCCUUUUAGUUUUAUUUGCUUUUAAAAAUAAUUCGGACAAGAAGGACAAAAUGAGGACAACUCAAUAACGAGUAUUUAUUUAGUAAUAACGAAAUAGGAUUGUCUUCUUGAACGUUUCAAGCCAAAAGACGUAAGAAACGUUGCUUUUGAUUGGACGAUAAGAUGUUUACUCUAACGUCAUAGUAAGUGUCAAAAGACAUAAAUAGGAGCCUGUAGACAGACAUGUCAUUCUGAAUCAAUCUCUUGAACCGUCAACUACCUUUUAUAUUGACCACCCG
rnacentral:lncRNA from 1 species